GUAGGAGCAGCAUUUGUACCUGGAGGCUGCUUCCUUUGGAGUGUGUGAAAAGAAGGGAUUGUCCUCUUCUGGACCACUGUAGUCGGGAUCACCCCAGCUGUGGGACCUGAUGGUGUGACAAAGCGAGGCCUCUGGUCUGCCAAACACUGGGACCUGUGAGAGAGAGAGAGACCCUGUGACCAUUGUGGAUCGUACUGACAGCUGCGCUCGGUGAGGUUUCCCAGAGCUGAUCAGCACGUGGAAUUCCCCACCUGCCCCAACCGUGCCCUGAUCUCCAAACUCCUUUGCGUCAUUGUGUCUCACAGUCCCAGGCGUCUUGCUGUGGUGCUGCUGGUAAGAGGAAUGUGCACAAGGUGCAGCCCCUGCAUGUGCGGGGCAGAGCCUUCAUUAUUGUAUUGUGCUCAACGGGUGGCAGCAAGGAACUGUGGUGCUCCUGGGCAGUGCCAGAACUGCAUGGAGAUCUGUGGCUCUUCAUGAAGUCAGCAAGAAAUGGAAAGCUGGAUUUCCUAGAAUGCCCUGGAACCUGACUUUGCUGACUGGUAACUCACUGCCCAUACGGGUAAGGGCAAUGUACACCUACCAGUGUUUACCCAUUCCAUAGCGUGGCUCCACGUAAUGCUGCCAGAGCUCAUUACUGUGCUUAAAGGUUCCCUACAGGCUGCUGGUCCUCCUCCUCCUGCUUUCUCCUUGCCUCUGGCCUGUCUAAUCUAAUCCAGACUAGUCACCAUACGAGUGCAACUCAGAGUGCAGUACAACUCAGAACCCAUUGAGACCCUGCACUUGCAGACCCUACACCUACACUGUAGUGCUGCUGCUCCCACCCCUGUCCCUCUCGUCUCCUGGGCACCAUUUCUAAACUAGCUCUGCAGCUCUGGAACUCGAUGCUUUGAAGAAGGAAGGCCCUCAGACUCAACUUAGUUGACUGGCUGCCCUGAUAGGUAAGGGCAAUGUACACCCACCAGUGUUUACCUAUUACGUAGCAUGGCUCAACCUAGUGUUCCCAGAGCUCGUUACUGUACUUGAGGGUGCCCUAUAGGCUGCCUGUCCAUUAUGUCAUAUGUUCUCCUUGUCUUGGGCCUU